GGGGAAUAUUGCACAAUGGAGGAAACUCUGAUGCAGCAACGCCGCGUGGAGGAUGACGCAUUUCGGUGUGUAAACUCCUUUUAUAAGGGAAGAUAAUGACGGUACCUUAUGAAUAAGCACCGGCUAACUCCGUGCCAGCAGCCGCGGUAAUACGGAGGGUGCAAGCGUUACUCGGAAUCACUGGGCGUAAAGGAUGCGUAGGCUGGAGAUCAAGUCGAGAGUGAAAUCCAACGGCUCAACCGUUGAACUGCUCUCGAAACUGGUCACCUAGAAUAUGGGAGAGGUAGAUGGAAUUGGUGGUGUAGGGGUAAAAUCCGUAGAUAUCACCAGGAAUACCGAUUGCGAAGGCGAUCUACUGGAACAUUAUUGACGCUGAGGCAUGAAAGCGUGGGGAGCAAAC
rnacentral:rRNA from 1 species